rnacentral:rRNA from 1 species
CUGCCCGCAACAGGGGGAUAACCCGGCGAAAGUCGGACUAAUACCGCAUAAAACAGGGGUCCCGCAUGGGAAUAUUUGUUAAAGAUUUAUCGGUUGCGGAUGGGCAUGCGUACCAUUAGGUAGUUGGUGAGGUAACGGCUCACCAAGCCUUCGAUGGUUAGGGGUUCUGAGAGGAAGGUCCCCCACACUGGUACUGAGACACGGACCAGACUCCUACGGGAGGCAGCAGUGAGGAAUAUUGGUCAAUGGGCGAGAGCCUGAACCAGCCAAGUCGCGUGAAGGAUGACUGCCCUAUGGGUUGUAAACUUCUUUUACAAGGGAAUAAAAUGAGAUACGUGUAUUUUAUUGCAUGUACCUUGGGAAUAAGCAUCGGCUAACUCCGUGCCAGCAGCCGCGGUAAUACGGAGGAUGCGAGCGUUAUCCGGAUUUAUUGGGUUUAAAGGGUGCGUAGGUGGGCUGUUAAGUCAGCGGUGAAAGUUUGUCGCUUAACGAUAAAAUUGCCGUUGAAACUGGUAGUCUUGAGUAUAGAUGAAGUAGGCGGAAUGCGUGGUGUAGCGGUGAAAUGCAUAGAGAUCACGCAGAACUCCGAUUGCGAAGGCAGCUUACUAAGGUAUA